UACGAGGGGUCCUAGCGUUGUUCGGAAUCACUGGGCGUAAAGCGUAUGUAGGCGGACUUUUAAGUCAGGUGUGAAAUCCCAUGGCUCAACCAUGGAAUUGCAUUUGAAACUGGAAGUCUUGAGUGUGGGAGAGAUUGGUAGAAUACCUGGUGUAGUGGUGAAAUACGUAGAUAUCAGGUGGAAUACCGGUGGCGAAGGCGGCCAAUUGGCCCAACACUGACGCUGAGAUACGAAAGCGUGGGGAUCAAACAGG
rnacentral:rRNA from 1 species